rnacentral:rRNA from 1 species
GGAGGGUGCAAGCAUUAAUCGGAUUUAUUGGGCGUAAAGGGGGCGUAGGCGGAUAAGUAAGUUAGAUGUGAAAUUCCGGAGCUCAACUUCGGAGCUGCAUUUAAAACUGUUUAUCUUGAGGUUAGGCGGAGAAAACGGAAUUCCACGUGUAGCGGUGAAAUGCGUAGAUAUGUGGAAGAACACCCGUGGCGAAAGCGGUUUUCUAGCUUAUACCUGACGCUGAGGCCCGAGAGCAAGGGGAGCAAACAGGAUUAGAUACCCUGGGUAGUCCUUGCCGUAAACGAUGUAUACUUGGUGUAGCUGGGCUCAACCCCUAGCUGUGCCGUAGCUAACGUGUUAAGUAUACCGCCUGGGGAGUACGCUCGCAAGAGUG